AAUGUGCAUCAUAUCAAGCAUUUCUUUCAAAGAUCACUAUUCUUGCAACUUUUUGUUCAUUCUUUGAUGUUUAAAAGAUAUGCUAAGACUGUCUUUUCUUUUACUAGGGUUCUUCUUUUAGAAACACCAAUGUGCUUAUUGCUACAUCCGUGUCUUAGGUUUUUGAUGACUCUAAUAUGAACAUGUAUCCUAUAAACACAAUCACAUGCACAUAAAGAAAUGUACAAAUAAAU
rnacentral:misc_RNA from 1 species